rnacentral:rRNA from 1 species
CUUUUGUGGGGUGCUCGAGUGGCGAACGGGUGAGUAACACGUGAGUAACCUGCCCUUGACUUUGGGAUAACUUCAGGAAACUGGGGCUAAUACCGGAUAGGAGCUCCUGCUGCAUGGUGGGGGUUGGAAAGUUUCGGCGGUUGGGGAUGGACUCGCGGCUUAUCAGCUUGUUGGUGGGGUAGUGGCUUACCAAGGCUUUGACGGGUAGCCGGCCUGAGGGGGUGACCGGCCACAUUGGGACUGAGAUACGGCCCAG